rnacentral:rRNA from 1 species
GGGGGGGGGGGGCGCCGGACAGUUCGUGAGGUUUUGGCCCUCUCAAAAGCCAAUAACCUCAAGCUUGUCUUCCUGUGCGAGACUAGGCAAGCUACUGUGAAAAUAGAGAAGAUACGUUGGAGACUCGGUCUGAAAGGAUUUCAUGGUGUGAGUAGUGAAGGGAGGAGUGGGGGCUUAGCACUUUUCUGGGAUGAGUCCCUCUCGGUCACGGUGAAUGAUUCCUGUAAUCGUUUUAUUGAUGUUAGUGUGGUCGAUGGUGGAUCGGGCACGUCUUGGAGGUGCACCUUUGUCUAUGGGGAGCCUCGGGUGGAAAACCGUUAUCGUAUGUGGGAGCAUCUCUGCCGGCUUCGAGCUCUCUCGCGCGAGCCGUGGAUGGUGUGUGGUGACUUUAAUGAAGCUUUGUGGCAACAUGAGCACUUGUCAAGGACAGAACGUUCGGAGGCUCAAAUGGUGGCCUUUAGAGAUUGCUUGGAGAUGUGUGAGCUCGAAGACCUAGGCUUCAUGGGGAUUCCGUUCACGUAUAACAAUGGCCAGGAUUCAGACCGUAAUGUUCAGGUCCGAUUGGACCAGGCUUGUGCUGAUGAAGCUUGGCGGGAUAUGUUUCCGUUGGCAAAGGUGGUUCAUUUGGCCACCUCAUGUUCGGAUCAUUGCCCCCUGUUGAUACACUUGGAGGGUCUGUAG